UGAAUUAAAGAGCACCUAUUAUGAGAUACACGUUUUUAAACAUCCUUUUGUGUGUAAGUGUGUAUUAGUACAUGCUAACGAUAUUCAAAAAGUACAUACCUCAAAGAAAACGAUGACGCGAGUUAUCGUCUCUAACGUUCGAGGACUACAAAAAACACUCGGAUUGUAGGCAACAGUUUACUUCCUGGGAUUGGUGACGUAGAUAAGACCAACAUUAUCAUAGUUCAGCCCUCUCUGCUUGGCUUGGGUACGCCCUCAAAGACGGGGGUGGAGAGCGCUGAGUCAGAAGAGAGCUAAAAUGGCGGAGGUUGGGAGUCCCUGCUUUGACCCUGUUUGCAAACUCUUGUUUCAUUGUUUAAGCGAUUAAAUCUCUCGAGUAGACGCUGUCUCUUUAGAUGCAAGGGCAAAAUAGCACUUUAUGGACUAACACAGAGGACAUCAUGUUUAAUACGGUUCCGGAAAAAUCCAGUCAGAAGUUGUUCACGGAGUUUUCACAAUAACUGCUUCUCAUGAACCAAAGCUGCGCGACGUCUCCUCCUGAAAGUUGGAUUACUGUGCACUUCUGGAUCACAGGCUAUUCGCAGCUGGACACAUCCUUCUACACUGUAUGCAAACAUGCAACAUCAUUACACACAGUACAAGGCAUAUGAGGAGCAAAGGAACCCAGGCAGUAGCAUCGUUUCACAAUGUUUCACUCACCAUCAUCAGUGGAUGCCUUUGCCGUCCGUAGCCUGAGAUUUCAGAUUUGCAGCAAAAAAUGUGACUUUCCCAUUUAUUGGAAUGCUGUGCAGGUUGUACCUUGCAGCCAUCCAUUACAAUGUCACCAAGCCAUAACAAAAGCAGGAGAGGGAAAGUACAAGGCUAUGUUCCCAAAACACACAAGUGACAUACUUUAUGUGGAUGAUGUGAUCAGGCUUGUGUUUGAUGAGGUAUUUGAAGAUAAGCUGAAGGAAACCCCGAUUCCAAUGGACCUGGCAUCACAGUUUGAGAGACCUUCAAAGGAGGACGUGAUUGCAUGCCAUCUUCAGUGCAGGGGUCGUCGGAAGCCAACAUUCCGAUCAGGAAGCUCCAAGCAUAUCUGGAGAACAACACACGACAGGAUGAUAACCCUAAAGUGUCGUCUUAGAUAGCACCAGCUGACAAAGCUUUGAUAUGCCAUUUAUCUGAAUAGAUAGCUGUAAGAAGUGAAUUGAAAAAUUUUUUGAAAGAAGAGCACAAUAUGGUUACUAAAGUAUGUUUAUUUGUAUAUUGUUUAACAGUUAAAUAUAUAUUUGUAAUAAAUAAACUUUUGACUGACUACUAUA